rnacentral:rRNA from 1 species
AUUGAACGCUGGCGGCAGGCCUAACACAUGCAAGUCGAACGAGUGGCGGACGGGUGAGUAAUGUCUGGGAAACUGCCUGAUGGAGGGGGAUAACUACUGGAAACGGUAGCUAAUACCGCAUACCAUCGGAUGUGCCCAGAUGGGCUUAGCUAGUAGGUGGGGUAAAGGCUCACCUAGGCGACGAUCCCUAGCUGGUCUGAGAGGAGGACCAGCCACACGGGAACUGAGCCACGGACCAGAGUCCGACGGGAGGCAGCAGUGGGGAAUAUUGGACAAUGGGCGCAAGCCUGAUGCAGCCAUGCAGCGUGUAUGAAGAAGGCCUUCGGGUUGUAAAGUAGUUUCAGCGGGGAGACGUUACCCGCAGAAGAAGCACCGGCUAACUCCGUGCCAGCAGCCGCGGUAAUAC